GAGAAAGACUAGUUUUAAAUGGUUUGCUUUGAAUUUUGUUUCACGCUCGAUGGGUCGUGUCUAAAUCGUAUCAAUGGAAAAUUUCAUGCCGCAUAAAUUAUUGUUUUAUGUCUUGACAUGUUGGUAAAGUAAGAUGUCAAAUGCACAACGCGAACCAUCGUCCCCCUCUCUUCAUCGGCUGUAACUGAAGGAUAAAGACGCCAUCAUUUCCAUUUCACGAAAUUAGCCUGUUCAACAUGAAAUACAAUUUCAUGUCGGUUAAUUUCGUCCUGCUUUAAACUGGGAUCACAACGUUUAACGACGCGGUGAGUUUGUGCUAUGUAACUUAUUAAAUUGCUUUCAUGUGCAUGAAUAUACUACAUGUUAAUAAUGGAUUUGUUACAGUGGUAAAUAAUCAGAGACGACAAUAAGGAAAAAGCUGCAUUUGUGAAAAUCAUUGCUCUUUUUCUGCAAGUUCCAUCUGUGAAAUUCGAACAUAGCUAAGCAACUUUUGUCAUUGGACAUCCUGUUGGCAUCAAAGGAUGCCGCAGAAAUAAUUCAAGUAAAUGAAAAGGAGUGAGGAGAAAAAAGAUCGGGGUUGUUUGGUGACAAAGAACCGAAGACAGAGAUAAAUGGAUGACGGAACGAAGAUCGAUAUAAGAGGUUAUCAACCGCAGUGUAAAAAAAGAUGUCCUUUCAGAGUUAAAAAUCGAAUAUAAAAAAGAAAAAAUAAACAUAUAUUUAUAUGAUAUAAUAAAACGAAAAGAUAUAAUAGUUUUUAUAACUUCAAUAAAAAUAUAAUAUAUAUAAUAAUACAACAUUCCAAAGAAUGUCGGAUGAUUUAUCUCGUAAUUUCAAACGUGAUAUGAUAAAAAUGGUCAAAAACUGCUGAGACUGUAUGUUUAACAGUGGCAAAAAGCUCAAGAUAUUAAGUAGUUGAAAUGAAAACCGAGUCAAGAUUAAAAUAUCUAUGAAAAAAAACGAAAUUUUAAAGAAGCCAAGAUCGAAAUAUAUAGGAAAAAAGAUAAUAAAAAAUUAUCAGAAUCAUUAUAAAAUUAUUGAAAUAUAAAGAAAAGAAGAAAAAAAAUAGUAGAAUAAUAAGAGAAUAAAAGAUGAUAGUAAAAGUAAAUGGAAGAAAUCGAGAGAAACCGAAAUCCUCAGAGAAAACGGGAAAAUCAAGAAAAAUCAGCUAGCUGUGAACACUUGGCGAGACUGUGAACUUUAAAAGGAAGAAAGUGCGGAGACGGGAAGCGAAUGCUGCACGGAAAAAUCCAGCUGCACUCUAGAGAUUAAGGAAAGGGGUUGAGAAGUUGAAAGAUUUGGGGUAACGGCUGAAAAAAUUAAGGAAAAAAAAAAUAGAGUCAGACAAAAGUUUGCAUAAUAAAGAAAACAAAGAGAGAGGUAUGGCAUUUUUCAUCGAGGAAAGAAAUACCAGUUUAAGAACAUAGAGAGUCAGGAAGCAAAAGUUAGAAGAGAAAGGAGCAACGAAAUCCCGAGGGAAUCCAGAAAAUCCGCCUGACGAGCUGCAGAGAAGACGUGAUGCGUUAGAAAAAAGGAAACAAGACGGUAGAUGGAAAGUGUAAUAGUUAGACAGGAAAAGAAAGAAGAGACGAGACGCAGAGAAAAAGCAAACAAACCGUGUGAAACGCAGGCUAGGCUUGCAAUCGCAUCUUCAUUUUGCUAAUGAGCUUCUGGAGACAUGUUAAAACAUGGGCAUAAAGUAUGAAUACAUAUCAUGUGCCCAAGUUUCAAUAUUUCAUUGGGAACAUACUUACAUAUCAAAAAUUUAUCAGUCUUUGAGAUUAUACUGAUUUUCCCUUCAGUUUUAAUUACCUAGAUUUUCAAAUGCAAAUCUUUUUACUUAAUUCAAAGGAUAGGCUUAUCCAUUUCCCAAAGGAUAUGGCUUUCACAUCUGAAGAUUUUGGUUGUUAUCAACUUUGAUUAGAGAGAUUUAUUUCGAUUUCAAUCUUAGAAUGGGACGUUAAUACGCUUUCUUGAAGAUCAUGUGUCGAGAGACCGAGAUUUUUCUUGCUGAAGAGGGACAUUAGCCCACUAAACAUUAAGAGGAAUUACGCUAAUGAAUAUCUAACUUGAAGCCUCAACGUUAAAGGGAAUUAUGCUAAUGAGCUUGGAGAGAGGAAAAGGAAAGGAUCUGUGCGUCUUGUUGCAUUAUCCACGAAAAUUCGAAAGAGGAACGAAGUCUUAAUUCGAGAGGAAUAAGGGAUAAAACAAAGAGAAGGAAAAGGAAGAGAUUCUCUUCAUCUUUCAGUUUCUUAGACUACUUCCUUCAUUUAUUACGCUGCAUUCUAUUUGUAUUUACGAAGGAGGAACAAACGUGACUGCAUGCUAAUUCGCGUCGUUUGAAGAGUCGGAGCAGGCCUUUAGGAGGAUCCUUCAGGAUCUCCUCUCCGUUUAAACGAGCGUCGCAGGACGAAAGGGGCUAAAUGAGUAUGGAAAAGGGCCACGGGGGAAAAAAAAGGCGAGCAUCGCGACGUCGAGUGGCGAGGACAAAUUGGUAGUCCGUGGAAGAGGAAGAAUAGAGGGAAAGAAUGAAAGGGAAGAAAGAGAAGAACGUUUUCUCUUCAUUCGAAUAAAAGAAGAAUGGGAUGGAGCUUUCUUCUCGAUGAAGCUUAUCAAUUCCGAGCAGAGAGAGGUCGUAAGUUCGCCAAGGACAUACGACAUUCGUCAACGAAGAAUGUGCACGCAUUUAAUUCGUGAAAGUUAGUGGAGGAAACGGAAGAGG